UGGGAUUUGGCUGAGUGGUAUAAGCAUCUGUCUGGAAAGCAUGAGGUUGUAAAUUCAAUUCCAG
rnacentral:tRNA from 1 species